AUGCUGCCUUGGAUCACCUUCCUUUGCAGGGAGGAGCAAGAGAGACAGAAUGGCCUUUGUGGGCCUCCAUCUCUCAUCUGCAAAGUGGAAGAGAGGGAUGAGAUAACCUAUCUGGACUCUUCGCAUUUGGAAUCUCAUUUCUCAAUGGAAGAAAGUCUCUCAAGGGACUUUCCCAGACCACUCUGCAGAAGACGCUCUCGUGAUCACUACUGGCAUCUUUGUUGCUCAGUCCACGUGAGUGACAUUUUAUUUCUCCAGACCUUGUUUUAUUUGGCCACUGUGUCACAUUUGGCAAUACUGAGUAUGGCUGCUUCAACAAUGCCUCAUUCUUUGAUUUCUAUGACAUCAUUUCUUGGUUCUUCUCCUGCCUUUUUGGCUAUUGCUUCUCAUUUUUCUUCAUUAGCUUUACUUUCAUGACCUGUCUCUAAAAGUUGAUGUUCCUAGCAUGUCCUCCUGGACCCUCACUUUCUCAAACUCCACAAUUUCGUUGGCUAUCUCCCAUGCUUCUAUUCCUCUAAUGUGCUGAUUAUCAGCACAUCUAUAUCUCCAGCCCAGAUAUUUCCCGAGUAUCUUUCAUAUCCAGUGGUCUCCAGUGUAUUACGUAUACCUUCCCUGGGUUUGCAAAAUAAGUCUCUAAGGCUACACAAAGAAAAAGAUAUUAAUAUUUUUAGUUUCUUAUCUGAAAUAUGAAAAGGAGACUCUGAUAAUUUGUUAAUGUUUAUCGUAUGCAUCAUCAGUAACGUCUUCAAUGGCCUGUUCGUCCUCCUGUCUCUGGUUUGCACAGGGAAGGGAGCGCUUUGUCUCUGGCUCUUCAACCACCACACGCAUGCAAAGAUAUUAGGUAGCUCGAGGUUUACUGAGUGUCUCUUACAAGGAGCUGGUCACACAGGAACAUCCCAGCUGUUGGUCAGUCUCCCACCUCAUCCCUGGGCUCCAGCAAAACCAGGUGGCAUGAGUCUAAAUCCAGUUAUUAUUCCUGAGCAAUGCUGAUAAACUGGUAUGUGCAUGCCAACACAACUCACAAGACAAUGGUUAUAGAAUAUUACUUAUUGAAUCUCAUGAAGAAGUUUAUUUUAUUCUGUUAAAAAUGUUUUAAAUUUGAGGUUGUCUAAAUUUUGCUAUCUAAGAGGUGUAUUUGAAAAAAUCAUCAUCAUUAUUUAUUCCCUCAAGACUAGAGUGAUGUUUUGAAACAGUGAGAAAAUUACUGCCUUUUGAAAUAAGUUAUGAUGAGGAGGUGGAACUACAUGAAAACUAAUAUUUGAAAUGUUUCCAUAAUUAACAUGGUUUAAUAGUAGAAAUGGACAUUACUUAUAAAACCCUCUUGCAG
ensembl:lncRNA